GAUGGACGCUAGCGGCAGGCUUAACACAUGCAAGUCGAGGGGUAGAAGCAGCUUGCUGCUUUGAGACCGGCGCACGGGUGCGUAACGCGUAUGCAAUCUACCUUUUACAGAGGGAUAGCCCAGAGAAAUUUGGAUUAAUACCUCAUAGUAUGUGAGAAUCGCAUGGUUUUCACAUUAAAGUUCCAACGGUAAAGAUGAGCAUGCGUCCCAUUAGCUAGAUGGUAAGGUAACGGCUUACCAUGGCGACGAUGGGUAGGGGUCCUGAGAGGGGAGAUCCCCCACACUGGUACUGAGACACGGACCAGACUCCUACGGGAGGCAGCAGUGAGGAAUAUUGGACAAUGGGCGCAAGCCUGAUCCAGCCAUGCCGCGUGAGUGAAGAAGGCCUU
rnacentral:rRNA from 1 species